rnacentral:misc_RNA from 1 species
CAACGAGUCGGACACAGCCGAUAAGAGGAGACUUUCAUGGCGUUUGAGUUUGAUGACGUACUGGAGCAGAUCGGCUCCUUCGGUCGCUACCAGAAGUUCGCCAUCUUCAUCUUACUCUUCCCAAGCGGCUUCUUCAGUGCUUUUAUGAUGAAUCAGCUGUUAUUCCAAGUGGUAGUUCCGGACCACUGGUGUCAUGUCCCGGGCCGCGAGACCACAGGAAUGUCCACGGACGAGUGGCGGGCUCUGACCAUUCCCAGGUCCAAUAGUUCCGGAAGGUACUCCAGCUGCCUCAGGUACAAGGUAACGUGGAGUGGUAACGCAAGCUUCUCACCUAGUGAGGGAGAUAGUGCCAGCUUCUCUCCCAGUGAGGGAGAUAAUGCCAGUUUCUCUCCCAGUGAGGGAGAUAAUGCCGGCUUCUCUCCCAGCGAGGAAGAUAGUGCCAGCUUCUCUCCCAGCGAGGGACGAAAUGCAAGUUUCUUCCUCAGCAACAAAACGGAAGAGUGCCGGAGUGGAUGGGAGUUUGACUCUUCGCAGUUCAAGGCGACUCUGGCCACCACCAACCAGUGGUUCUGUGAGAGGGAGAGUUACUCCCAGCACGCCCUCGCUCUCAACAUGGCCGGAAACGCUUUCGGCACUUUAAUACUACCGUUUAUCGGGGACAAAUACGUCGGGCGUCGAGUGAUCCUGUACGUGGCCCUGGCGAUCCACGUGGUCUUCACUAUACCGCUGGUCUGGAUCUCCAACGUGGGCUUCCACCUGCUCUUCAGGUUCCUGGCCGGCCUGGGGUACCUCAGCUACAGCCUCGUACCCUAUGUCAUUGUGGUGGAGACAGUGGGAAGCAGGAGACGCGCCCUCACCACAGGCUUGUACUACGGCACGUGGACGGCCGGAAUGUGCUUCACUGCCCUAGUGGCUUUUCUGGUUCCCCACUGGCAGUACCUCGCUCUCAUCUCCUGCGUUCCACCCAUCAUAUUCUUACUCUUUCUGCGGUUGGUUCCUGAGUCGCCACGAUGGUUACUGUCCAAGGGUCGAGUGACGGAGUGUGCCAGGAUCCUGCUACAGGUAGCGAAGACAAACGGGAACCAGGAGGUGACGAAGCAAGACCUGAAGAAGAAACUCUGUGACAUUGUGGACAAACAGGUGGAGGAAGUCAGCAUUAAGAAUGCCUUGCGCUACCCGAUACUUCGCUGGAGGCUCGUCAGUCUGCUCACCAUAGCAAUGUGUGUGUACAUGUCGUACGGAGUGAUCCUGAUGGGCAUCAACGUCCUCCCAAGCAACUACUUCCUGAGUCACUUUAUCCUGUCGGUGAGUCAGCUGCCAGCGACUGCCACCAGCUGGGUGUUCAUGCAGUACCUGGGACGUCGCUUCUCCUCCAUGGCCUCUGCGCUGCUCUUCAUCGUCCUCUGCGUCGUGGCUACUUUUUGCACACACGACGCGUGGGCGCUGGUGGUGGUGAUAGGAGCUCUGAGACUGUGUCUGGCCGUGCAGAUGCAGGUGAUGUUUGUGCAGGUGGUGGAGCUCCUGCCCACCCCCGUCAGGAGCUCCGGCCUCGGGCUCUACACCGUCUUCGGGCUGUGUGCCAUGACAGCCUCUCCCUAUAUCCUCCAUUCUGGCCAGGGUUCCAGCUUCCACUACUGGGUGUUGGUGGGACUCAUGUUACUCUCCCUCAUCCUCUGCAUCCCUCUACCGGAGACUCUGGGGCAUGCCUUACCCCAGACCUUCCAGGAGGCCGAGGACCUUGGUUUUGGAAGACCCAUGGCUACCUGGAUCCACCACUGGAAUCUCCACAAAUAUCCAGCCGCCUCCAAUGCGGCUUGUUCUACCUGCAACUCCUGCAACCCAGACGAGCUGGAGCCACUGCAAGAUAUCGAAAACAGUACUUAACACUCCGUAAAGUUAAUAUCUAUUCGAGUGUACAGUUUAUCGUGGGUAAUAAUUAUCCAUUCAUCUGCACAAAUAAAUAACAUUCAUGUGUAUAUCGAUGAGAAAAUCAGUAGGAGCCGUGAGGUGGAUUCCAACCUAUGCACUCUUUGUGCAUAUGAAGAACACAGAUGCGUCGUGUGCUUGGAAAGUAUCUUUUGUAUCAUUGUUCACAAACAUAGAUAUCAUAGUCUGUCUUCGUAGCUGUCGGCAAAGUUAUUAUCUAUUUACACGUGUCUCGUGAAUCAACAUAACGCUAAUUAUUGUUCAACACAGCAUAAGUCUGAAGGAGAUGAGCGUGUACUCACCUAGUUGUGCUUGCGGGGGUUGAGUUUCGGCUCCUUGGGCCAGCCUCUCAUCUGUCAAUCACCUGCUGUAGAAAUUGCCGAGUCUAUUGGGCUCUGUCAUGUCAACGCUUGAAACUGUGUAUGAAGUCUGCCUAAUGAAUUCCAUUUGUUAAUUACCCUGACACUGAAAAACUUCUUCCAACGUCCAUGUCGUUCAUUUGGGUUCUAAAUUUCCACCUGUCUCCAUGCUCGCGUACCACACAUGGUAAAACAAAUUAUCUACCGUGUCAAUUCCUUUGAGAAUUGUAUAGGCGUCUUAAUAUUUUCCCUAACUUUUCUGUCUUCCAGUGUCGUGAGGUUUAGUUCCAGUAAUCAUUCCUCAUAGCUUAUACUCCUCAGCUCGGGGACUAUCCUGGUGCGAUACCUCUGAACCUUUUAUUACUUCAUUUUGUAUUUGACUAGAUAUGGACUUCUCGCUAGAGCCGCAUACUCCAGUAUUGGUCUGACAUUUGUGGUAUAAAAGGUUCUGAAGGAUUCCUUACUCAAGUUCCUAAAGCGAUUCUUAUGUUUGUCAGCCUUGCAUAUGCUGCUGAUGAAAUACUUUUCAUAUGGGCUUCAGGGGACAGGUCUCACGUGAUAUAUCAACCGGCAGAUCUCUCUCUUCCUGACUCCAGAAGGAUUUCAACUCCGAACUGGUACCUUGUGUUUGGCCUUCUGCUCCCUGAACCUAUCUUCAUCAUUUUACACUUGCUUGCCUUAAACCCUAGCAACCAUUUUUGGACCAUUCUUUCAGUCUUUGCAGGUCAUCUUGAAAUCUCUUGUUGUCCUCCUAUGUCUUAUCCCUCCUCAUAAUUUUAGCAUCAUCAGCAAACAUUGAGAGGAAUGAGUCUAUACUCUAUGAGAGAUCAUUUACAUAUAUCAGAAACAGGAUAGGUCUGAGUACAAAACCCUGUGGGACUCCACUGGUAACUUCACGCCAUUCUGAGGUCACACUCCUCAAAAUAACUCUGUUGCCACAACACUCAGCCUUAAGACUUGUCAACUUGAGUUUGGCCAGACACAGCACAGGCCACCAUUGACCUUCCACACAUCCGUCAAGCUGGCUACACUGACAACCACAGCCCCCUCAACACACCUCAGUAGCUGACUAUACUGACAUAACCCCAGCCCCCUCAACACACCUCAGUAGCUGGCUACACUGACAUAACCCCAGCCCCCUCAACACACCUCAGUGGCAGGCUACACUGACACAACCCCAUCAACACACCGCAGUGGCAGGCUACACUGACACAACCCCAUCAACACACCGCAGUGGCAGGCUACACUGACACAACCCCAUCAACACACCGCAGUGGCAGGCUACACUGACACAACCCCAUCAACACACCGCAGUGGCAGGCUACACUGACACAACCCCAUCAACACACCGCAGUGGCAGGUUACACUGACACAACCCCAUCAACACAUAUUCAUCCUUCUCAAGAAACCGAUAUUUUAGCGUCUCUGCAACACACUGGGGAAAUAUGCAACAACUCAAAAAGUUAGUUUUACCCUCCCCGUGGACCGGGAAGGUUGCUACUGCUCAACCUAUAUUAAAACCCUUCGUAUUUUCCCCCCAAAAAAUAUUUCUGUACUGAUGAAGAAUGACUUUUUCCUUCUUACUGUGCAUGUUAAUUUCUUCAACACUUUUGUGUAAUCUAUAAUAUUUUUCAAAUAUUUUAUUUAUGAAUCAAUAGGUAAAUAUAUCUUUGCACGUAAAUCAGUUAAAAUAUCAAUUUUAAUUAAUAUUGUAAAUUUACAAUAGAGCAGAGGUUGACUAAUUCUUAAGUACAACCUAAUUUCUGUAUUAUGUAUCAGUUUUUAAUUAUUUAAAUUAAUGGCAAUGAAAAUAAAACUUGUUCUUUUACAGAGCUCAGUGUUAUCUUAUACAUCUUUUUUUUACACCUGCAAAUGUUCUUUGCAAAUUAAGUACAUAUAUGUAAAAAGAACAAAAGCUGUAGUGUAAAUAUUUGAAUAAAAUUUUAUGCAAGUCAUGUCUAAAUUGAGAUAAUAUUCGCAAUAAGAGUG